CCUACGGGGGGCAGCAGUGGGGAAUAUUGGACAAUGGGGGGAACCCUGAUCCAGCCAUGGCGCGUGUGUGAAGAAGGCCCUCGGGUUGUAAAGCACUUUCAGUGAGGAAGAACGCCUGGUGGUUAAUACCCAUCAGGAAAGACAUCACUCACAGAAGAAGCACCGGCUAACUCCGUGCCAGCAGCCGCGGUAAUACGGAGGGUGCGAGCGUUAAUCGGAAUUACUGGGCGUAAAGCGCGCGUAGGUGGCUUGAUAAGCCGGUUGUGAAAGCCCCGGGCUCAACCUGGGAACGGCAUCCGGAACUGUCAAGCUAGAGUGCAGGAGAGGAAGGUAGAAUUCCCGGUGUAGCGGUGAAAUGCGUAGAGAUCGGGAGGAAUACCAGUGGCGAAGGCGGCCUUCUGGACUGACACUGACACUGAGGUGCGAAAGCGUGGGUAGCAAACAGGAUUAGAUACCCGAGUAGUC
rnacentral:rRNA from 1 species